rnacentral:rRNA from 1 species
AACGCUGGCGGCAGGCCUAACACAUGCAAGUCGAGCGGAUGAAGAGAGCUUGCUCUCUGAUUCAGCGGCGGACGGGUGAGUAAUGCCUAGGAAUCUGCCUAUUAGUGGGGGACAACGUUUCGAAAGGAACGCUAAUACCGCAUACGUCCUACGGGAGAAAGCAGGGGACCUUCGGGCCUUGCGCUAAUAGAUGAGCCUAGGUCGGAUUAGCUAGUUGGUGAGGUAAUGGCUCACCAAGGCGACGAUCCGUAACUGGUCUGAGAGGAUGAUCAGUCACACUGGAACUGAGACACGGUCCAGACUCCUACGGGAGGCAGCAGUGGGGAAUAUUGGACAAUGGGCGAAAGCCUGAUCCAGCCAUGCCGCGUGUGUGAAGAAGGUCUUCGGAUUGUAAAGCACUUUAAGUUGGGAGGAAGGGCAUUAACCUAAUACGUUAGUGUUUUGACGUUACCGACAGAAUAAGCACCGGCUAACUUCGUGCCAGCAGCCGCGGUAAUACGAAGGGUGCAAGCGUUAAUCGGAAUUACUGGGCGUAAAGCGCGCGUAGGUGGUUUGUUAAGUUGGAUGUGAAAGCCCCGGGCUCAACCUGGGAACUGCAUC